GAUAAACGCUGACAGAAUGCUUAACACAUGCAAGUCAACUUGAACUUCGGUUUGGGUGGCGGACGGGUGAGUAACGCGUAAAGAACUUGCCUCACAGAUAGGGACAACAUUUGGAAACGAAUGCUAAUACCUGAUAUUAUGAUUUUAGGGCAUCCUAGAAUUAUGAAAGCUAUAUGCGCUGUGAGAGAGCUUUGCGUCCCAUUAGCUAGUUGGAGAGGUAACGGCUCACCAAGGCGAUGAUGGGUAGCCGGCCUGAGAGGGUGAUCGGCCACAAGGGGACUGAGACACGGUCCUUACUCCUACGGGAGGCAGCAGUGGGGAAUAUUGGACAAUGGACCAAGAGUCUGAUCCAGCAAUUCUGUGUGCACGAUGAAGUUUUUCGGAAUGUAAAGUGCUUUCAGUUGGGAAGAAAAAAAUGACGAUACCAACAGAAGAAGUGACGGCUAAAUACGUGCCAGCAGCCGCGGUAAUACGUAUGUCACAAGCGUUAUCCGGAUUUAUUGGGCGUAAAGCGCGUCUAGGUGGUUAUGUAAGUCUGAUGUGAAAAUGCAGGGCUCAACUCUGUAUUGCGUUGGAAACUGUGUAACUAGAGUACUGGAGAGGUAAGCGGAACUACAAGUGUAGAGGUGAAAUUCGUAGAUAUUUGUAGGAAUGCCGAUGGGGAAGCCAGCUUACUGGACAGAUACUGACGCUGAAGCGCGAAAGCGUGGGUAGCAAACAGG
rnacentral:rRNA from 1 species